rnacentral:rRNA from 1 species
AAUAUUGGUCAAUGGAGGCAACUCUGAACCAGCCAAGUCGCGUGAAGGAUGAAGGUCUUAUGGAUUGUAAACUUCUUUUAUACAGGAAUAAAGUUAGCCACGUGUGGUUUUUUGCAUGUACUGUAUGAAUAAGGAUCGGCUAACUCCGUGCCAGCAGCCGCGGUAAUACGGAGGAUCCGAGCGUUAUCCGGAUUUAUUGGGUUUAAAGGGUGCGCAGGCGGGAUGUUAAGUCGGCGGUGAAAUUUUGCGGCUCAACCGUAAAAGUGCCUUCGAAACUGGCCUUCUUGAGUAUGGAUGAAGUAGGCGGAAUUUGUGGCGUAGCGGUGAAAUGCUUAGAUAUCACGAGGAACUCCGAUUGCGCAGGCAGCUUACUAAACCAUAACUGACGCUCAUGCACGAAGGCGUGGGGAUCAAACAGG